CCAAAAUCAUGUGACAUAUUCAACUGUUAUUGAUCUUUGUUUUAAAGGAAUAGUUCACCCCAAAAUAAAAAUCUGCUGAAAAUGUCCUCACAUUUAGGUCAUCUAAGAUGUAGAUGCGUUUGUUUCUUCAUCAGAUUUGGAGAAAUGUAGCAUUGCAUCACUUGCUCAGCAAUGGAUGCUCUGCAGUGAAUGGGUGCCGUGAGAAACAGCUGAUAAAAACAUCACAGUAAUCCACAAGUAAUCCACACCACUCCAGUCCAUCAGCUAACAUCUUGUGAAGCCAAAAGAAACAAAUCCAUCAUUAAGACUUUUUAACUUCAGACUUCUGGCCAAAAUCCAUAAUAAUGCUCCCUCCAGUGAAAAAGUUCAUCCCCUGUUGUCUCUCACACCGAAAUCCACCCACAUAUUUGUUAAUCAAAACGGUGUUUUGAUCUAUGCAGAUUUCUUUCCUGAUUCAGAUCAGACCACUUUUGGAUUUGUUUCUUACAAACAUGCAGCUUUUUGCUUCACGAGAUCUUAACUGAUGGACUGGAGUGGUGUGGAUUAUUGGUAUGUUUGUAUCAGCUGUUUGGACUCUCAUUCUGACGGCACCCAUUCACUGCAGAGCAUUCGCUGAUGAACAAGUGAUGAAAUGCUACAUAUCUCCAAAUCUGAUGAUGAAACAAACUCAUCUACAUCUUGGAUGGCCUGAGGGUAUGGUUUUAAAGAUUGCUGAUAAUUACCUCAGUGUCGGGCUCUUUUCUCUUGGACUCUGUUUCUCUGUUUGCUGAUGCUCUGGCUCCGUCCUCCACCUCAGGACACAGGCUGCUCUGCCGAGACGUUGAGUACUGAGCAGAGAUGUUAGACAGCUGUCUCAUGGCCUGAAGCCUGAGAAACUGCUGUUGACUCAGUGAGAUGUAGUGGAAGUUGUGCUGCUCGGCGUUCAGCAGGUAACCAGGAAGCGAUAACCUCUUGAACUCCUGCAGCGAGGAAGCAGGGACGUGUUAUUAAACAGCAGGGAAGAACAUGAUCUCGUUCCUGACCUUUGCUGAGGAGUCUUAUCACCAAUAAUAGAGGUCAUCACAUG
ensembl:lncRNA